rnacentral:misc_RNA from 1 species
GAUGAAGAACGCAGCGAAAUGCGAUACGUAAUGUGAAUUGCAGAAUUCAGUUAAUCAUCGAAUCUUUGAACGCAUAUUGCGCUCUCUGGUAUUCCGGAGAGCAUGCUUGUUUGAGUAUCAGUAAACACCUCAACUCCCUUUUCUUUUUUGAAAUUGGAGCUGGACUUGAGUGAUCCCAACGCUUUCUUCCAAGAAAGUGGCGGGUUGCUUGAAAUGCAGGUGCAGCUGAACUUUUCUCUGAGCUAUAAGCAUAUCUAUUUAGUCUGCCUAAAAAACAGAUUAUUACCUUUGCUGCAGCUAACAUAAAGGAGACUAGUUCUUGUGCUGACUGAUGCAGGAUUCACAGAGACAGCUUCGGCUGACUUUGUAAACUCGAUCUCAAAUCAAGUAAGACUACCCGCUGAACUUAAGCAUAUCAAUAAGCGGAGGA